GCAAUAGCUGAUUGCAUUUAAUUUAAUGUAGUUACUACUUGGUAGUUUAAAUUUCUAGGUAGAAUUAUGAUGAUGACAUUAUCUAUCUAUUAGUCUUGACCAAAUUACGUGCCAGCAGUCGCGGUAAUACGUAGAAGACAAGUGUUAUUCAUCUUUAUUAGGUUUAAAGAGUACCAAGACGGUUAAUAAAGCCCAAAAUAAAUGAAUACGGGGGACACAUUAACUAGAGUUAUAUGAAAGGAAGCUAUAAGGUACUGUUGAGUGUAGAGAUGAAAUUUUAUGAUACCAGAUGAUUGGCACAGAUUUAUGCGAAGGCAUCUUCUUAUGUAAUAACUGACGUUGUAGGACGAAGGCUUAGGAAGUGAACAGGAUUAGGUACCCCAGUAAUCUAGGCAGAAAAUGAUGAAUGUCAUAGGUUCAAAUUCUGGGUCUAUAAAUGAAAGUGUAAGCAUUCCACCUCAAGAGUAAUUUGGCAACAUUGGAACUGAAAUCAUUAGACCGUUUCUGAAACCAGUAGUGAAGUAUGUUGUUUAAUUAGAUGAUACACAAAAACCUUACCACAAUUUGAAUAUAUAUAAAAUAUAUUUACAAGCGCUGCACGGCUGUCUACAGUUAAUGUCGUGAGACUAUGGUUAGCUCCAUUAAAUUGACGAAAACCCAAAUUAUAUUUAUAAAUAUAAU
rnacentral:rRNA from 1 species